UGGAGGGCAAGUCUGGUGCCAGCAGCCGCGGUAAUUCCAGCUCCAAUAGCGUAUAUUAAAGUUGUUGCAGUUAAAAAGCUCGUAGUUGAAUUUCGGGGUCUGUCCAUUGGUCGGGCUUCACGGUCCGUACUGGUGUGAUGGGUUCCUACCUUCUGAAUAACCAACAUGCCAUUAAUUUGGUGCGUUGGGGAAGCAGGACUGUUACCUUGAAAAAAUUAGAGUGCUUAAAGCAGGCUAUUGCCUGAAUACAUUAGCAUGGAAUAAUGAAAUAGGACGCAUGGUUCUAUUUUGUUGGUUUCUAGGAUCACCGUAAUGAUUAAUAGGGAUAGUUGGGGGCAUUAGUAUUCAAUUGUCAGAGGUGAAAUUCUUGGAUUUAUUGAAGACUAACUUCUGCGAAAGCAUUUGCCAAGGAUGUUUUCAUUAAUCAAGAACGAAAGUUAGGGGAUCGAAGACGAUCAGAUACCGUCGUAGUCUUAACCAUAAACUAUGCCGACUAGGGAUCGGACGAUGUUAAUUUUUUAAUGACUCG
rnacentral:rRNA from 1 species